rnacentral:rRNA from 1 species
GCAAGUCGUGCGAGAAAGUUCUUCGGAUAUGAGUAGAGCGGCGGACGGGUGAGUAACGCGUAGGAAUCUACCUAGUAGAAGGGGAUAGCCCGGGGAAACCCGGAUUAAUACCGUAUACCUCCUUCGGGAGAAAGAAGGCCUCUCUUUGAAGCUUUCGCUAUUAGAUGAGCCUGCGUAAGAUUAGCUUGUUGGUGAGGUAAAGGCUCACCAAGGCGACGAUCUUUAGCUGGUCUGAGAGGACGAUCAGCCACAUUGGGACUGAGACACGGCCCAGACUCCUACGGGAGGCAGCAGUGGGGAAUAUUGGACAAUGGGCGAAAGCCUGAUCCAGCCAUACCGCGUGUGUGAAGAAGGCCUUCGGGCUGUAAAGCACUUUAAGCAGGGAGAAAAAGUUAUAAGUUAAUACCUUAUAACCAUGAUGUUACCUGCAGAAUAAGCACCGGCUAAUUCCGUGCCAGCAGCCGCGGUAAUACGGAAGGUGCAAGCGUUAAUCGGAAUUACUGGGCGUAAAGCGCGCGUAGGUGGUUUGUUAAGUUGGAUGUGAAAGCCCUGGGCUCAACCUAGGAACUGCAUCCAAAACUAACUCACUAGAGUACGAUAGAGGGAGGUAGAAUUCAUAGUGUAGCGGUGGAAUGCGUAGAUAUUAUGAAGAAUACCAGUGGCGAAGGCGGCCUCCUGGAUCUGUACUGACACUGAGGUGCGAAAGCGUGGGUAGCGAACAGGAUUAGAUACCCUGGUAGUCCACGCCGUAAACGAUGACAACUAGCUGUUGGAAGACAAUGUUUUUCAGUGGCGCAGCUAACGUUUUAAGUUGUCCGCCUGGGGAGUACGGCCGCAAGGCUAAAACUCAAAUGAAUUGACGGGGACCCG